rnacentral:rRNA from 1 species
UACGUAGGGGGCAAGCGUUUGUCCGGAAUUAUUGGGCGUAAAGAGCGUGUAGGCGGUCCGGUUAAGUCGGCUGUGAAAGUCCAGGGCUCAACCCUGGGAUGCCCGGUCGAUACUGCCGGACUAGAGUUCGGUAGGGGAGACUGGAAGUUCCUGGUGUAGCGGUGAAAUGCGCAGAUAUCGAGGAGGAACACCGGUGGCGAAGGCGGGUCGUCUCGGGCCGAUACUGACGCUCAUGCACGAAAGCGUGGGGAGCAAACAGG